UGCAAGUCGCACGAGAAAGGGGAGCAAUCCCUGAGUAAAGUGGCGCACGGGUGAGUAACACGUGACUAAUCUACCCUCGAGUGGGGAAUAACUGAGAGAAAUCUUAGCUAAUACCGCAUAACACUUACGAGUCAAAGCAGCAAUGCGCUUGGGGAGGAGGUCGCGGCCGAUUAGCUAGUUGGCGGGGUAAUGGCCCACCAAGGCGAUGAUCGGUGUCCGGCCUGAGAGGGCGCACGGACACACUGGAACUGAAACACGGUCCAGACUCCUACGGGAGGCAGCAGUGGGGAAUUUUGCGCAAUGGGGGAAACCCUGACGCAGCAACGCCGCGUGGAGGAUGAAGUAUCUUGGUACGUAAACUCCUUUCGAUAGGGAAGAUAAUGACGGUACCUAUAGAAGAAGCCCCGGCUAACUUCGUGCCAGCAGCCGCGGUAAUACGAGGGGGGCAAGCGUUGUUCGGAUUUAUUGGGCGUAAAGGGUGCGUAGGCGGUUUGGCAAGUCUUAUGUGAAAUCUUCGGGCUCAACCCGAAGCCUGCAUAAGAAACUGCCGGGCUUGAGUAUUGGAGAGGUGAGUGGAAUUUCCGGUGUAGCGGUGAAAUGCGUAGAUAUCGGAAGGAACACCUGUGGCGAAAGCGGCUCACUGGACAAUAACUGACGCUGAGGCACGAAAG
rnacentral:rRNA from 1 species